GCAGAGCAUCCUACGGGAGGCAGCAGUGGGGAAUAUUGCACAAUGGGCGCAAGCCUGAUGCAGCCAUGCCGCGUGUAUGAAGAAGGCCUUCGGGUUGUAAAGUACUUUCAGCAGUGAGGAAGGUGGGUAUGUUAAUAGCAUACUCAUUUGACGUUAGCUGCAGAAGAAGCACCGGCUAACUCCGUGCCAGCAGCCGCGGUAAUACGGAGGGUGCGAGCGUUAAUCGGAAUUACUGGGCGUAAAGCGCAUGCAGGUGGUUUGUUAAGUCAGAUGUGAAAGCCCGGGGCUCAACCUCGGAAUUGCAUUUGAAACUGGCAAACUAGAGUACUGUAGAGGGGGGUAGAAUUUCAGGUGUAGCGGUGAAAUGCGUAGAGAUCUGAAGGAAUACCGGUGGCGAAGGCGGCCCCCUGGACAGAUACUGACACUCAGAUGCGAAAGCGUGGGGAGCAAACAGGAUUAGAUACCCCUGGUAG
rnacentral:rRNA from 1 species